UCAUGCUCAACUUGACUCUUCUAAUGGAUUGUUUGUCCCGCUGUAGUUAAACUUAUUGUCUAUUGUAUUAUAUCAGUUUAACACUGUUGAAGGCUAACGAUAAUUUAUUUUGCAUUAUCUUAGUCAUAAUAUUUCUUACUGGGCUAGUUGAGCUCACCCUUUGCUUUCAUUGUUCUCUUCAGGAAAUGAGAACAUAGCCAGGACUAGUCGGGGAACGGAGUGAUGGUCCGAGAUGGUGGAUAUAGUAGUCCUGACUGUUCUAUGAAAUAGUAUAAUAAUAAUUGUAAUGAGGAAUUUAUUUGAGUUUGGAUACUAUCUACGAGACAAUACCCGUGUUAAAACUCUCAGCUACAUUUUUUAUAUUGUAUAAAUGAAGUUUGUAUUUAAGUUCUGUACCAUGUAUUUGGCGACUCAGAAUGGGUGAUGUAUACCUAUUUUUGGGCCGUCUCAUGCACGACUCACAAUACCCCCAAAAUUGGUAAUAGGACUUCGAAUAUGGUGAUAUAUAAUGAGAAAAAUGUAAGAAUAAACUGCUUACCCUAAGUGUAUUGACAAAUUGAUUGAUUCUCCCCUUCUGUUUUGUCGUAUUCUUCAUGAUAGUUGUAUUAAUUAAGUUUGUAUUUGAAUUAUGUACUAUGUAUUUGGCGACCCAAGAUGGGUGAUGUAUACCUAUUUUUGGGCCGUCUCAUGCACGACUCACAAUACCCCCAAAAUUGGUAAUAGGACUUCGAAUAUGGUGAUAUAUAAUGAGAAAAAUGUAAGAAUAAACUGCUUACCCUAAGUGUAUUGACAAAUUGAUUGAUUCUCCCCUUCCUUUUUGCUGGGUGUUGUAUACCUAUUUUUGGGGCGUCACAAAAAAUCUCACUUGAAG
rnacentral:lncRNA from 1 species